AGGGAAUAGAUACCCGGGUAGUCCACGCCCUAAACGAUGUCGACUAGGUGUUCGGUGAGGAGACUCAUUGAGUACCGCAGCUAAACGCGUGAAGUCGACCGCCUGGGGAGUACGGUCGCAAGAUUAAAACUCAAAGGAAUUGACGGGGACCCGCACAAGCGGUGGAUGAUGUGGAUUAAUUCGAUGCAACGCGAAAACCUUACCUACCCUUGACAUGUACGGAACCCUGCUGAGAGGUGGGGGUGCUCGAAAGAGAGCCGUAACACAGGUGCUGCAUGGCUGUCGUCAGCUCGUGUCGUGAGAUGUUGGGUUAAGUCCCGCAACGAGCGCAACCCUUGUCAUUAGUUGCUACGCAAGAGCACUCUAAUGAGACUGCCGGUGACAAACCGGAGGAAGGUGGGGAUGACGUCAAGUCCUCAUGGCCCUUAUGGGUAGGGCUUCACACGUCAUACAAUGGUCGGUACAGAGGGUUUGCCAAGCCGCGAGGUGGAGCCAAUCCCAGAAAGCCGAUCGUAGUCCGGAUCGCAGU
rnacentral:rRNA from 1 species